UGUCCGUCUUUCCCUCCAUGCCUACACACAAACGUUAACGUGUCCCAACGUUUGUCCCCCGCGCAGAUCCGUACGUGAAGAUCCACCUGAUGCAGAACGGCAAGCGUCUGAAGAAGAAGAAGACCCACCAUCAAGAAGAACACGCUGAACCCCUACUACAACGAGUCCUUCAGCUUUGAGGUCCCCUUCGAGCAGAUUCAGAAAGUGCAAAUCGUGGUCACCGUUCUGGACUAUGACAAGAUCGGCAAAAACGAUGCCAUCGGCAAGGUCUUCGUGGGCCUCAACAGCUCGGGCACGGAGCUCCGCCAUUGGUCCGACAUGCUGGCCAACCCGCGGAGACCCAUCGCCCAGUGGCACGUGCUGAAGGUGGAGGAAGAGGUCGACGCCCAGCUCUCCACCAAGAAAUAGGCAGCCGAGGGCCCCCACCUUUACUCUGAGUGGACCCCCCCCCCUGCACCGCCCCCCGAAAAGAAAAAUCUUUGCCCAAAACUCUGCACACUCCUCCUCCUAUUUUAGCCAGUAUGUGUAAAUACUUCACUGAAUAUACAUAUAUAUAUAUAUAUAUAAAUAUAUAUGUAUACAUAUAGGUUUACUUAACAUCCCCCUAGACACAAACCAACACACACACACACACACACAUGCACACAGACAACCAGAACGAUAACACACUCUGAGCGAGGCCCAGCCCCCACUGUGUGUAUUCUAUGUCUCUUUUUAUCGGCCCCUAUUCAAAUGACUCCCCACACACAAAGUCCUUGCGAUCUUUUCCCCACUGUCCCUAACUUUCUGUCCUUUUCGGUCUGGUUUAGCUUGUGCUCCCCUCCACACGACACUUUCGUUCUAGCGAUCAGGCGAUCCUCUCUUUCAAUCAUUGUGUUGCCCAAGGCCACGCCCCCUUAUCCCCUGCCCCGCCCCCUCAAACCAAAUGCCCUCUCCUUUUAAGCAAUAUGAUGUGUAUAGAAAACGCAUGACUGAAAGAGUUAAUUAAUUGUACCACAGUUGUAUAUAUAUAUAUGUACGCAGACAAAAACUACAUUUUUUGUUUAUGUGUUUGUAUGUUGUUAACCCAUUUCCUAAUCUGUGUAUAUCUAGAUGUUUUUAAUAAGAUGUUCUAUUUUAAAUGAUGUAAAUGCAGAUAUAGAGGAAAGCCAAUAUUAUAUAUAUAUAACCCAGGAUUUUAAAAGUUCUAAUUUAUUGCAUUCCAUGAAAAAAAAAAGGGAUUUCCAACGGGCGCAAUGCUAACGGAAUAUAUGAUGAUUAUGUUAAAUAGGACGACAUCCAUCUCGAAGUUCGAUGGAAGACUUAAUCAAUAAAACACGUAAUUAAUGAAGGAAAGACAUAAAAGGCCAUACACUACUAUGGUUCUGUGAAGUGAAAAACGAAUUAUGCUGCUGGGGAUUAUACAAGCACAUGAUUUCUGAAAAAAACUUUUUAUACUAAUUUCUCAAUUGGAGGACCUAUUAUGUUGAGCGGGCCAUGAGUUGUUAUCGGAGUUGUUAUCGGAAGGUUUAUUAGGAGAUUUAAUUUUGUCCGUUUCGUUCCAAGGUCUCUUUCUUCUGCGCCAAACAGUUUGUAUUUACAAAGGCCAUCUUUUACUUCUACAGGAUUGCCUUUGUCUUUAUUUUCAUUCGAAAAUAUAAAAAACAAAUAUCUCCCCCUAACCCUAGGUAACUAGGUAAUUAAUUUCCUGUUGACCCUACAGAAACAACCCCCCCCCUCCCCCCGUAAAAGGAAAAGAAGAAAUAGCAAGCUGUAGCCAUUGUGUCCUUAAGCUUGUUUAACAAGAUUCAGUUGACUGCUUCACUUUCAACAACGGUGGCCAUGUUGGAAGUGUGUCUCACUCGCGUCCAGGCGUCGGGUUCCAAGGCUCCGUGAAGGAGCCUUAAAAAAAUACAUGAGAUAUUUCAACUAUUUUUUAGAGCAACUCGACGUCAAAAUAUUUUUUAAGUAAAACUGCAUGAUUUUUUUACAAUAUUUACAAAGAAAAACGGGCGAGCAAAUCGGAGUUCAGAAGUUCUUCUGUAGACACCGCUGGGCUGUCUCUUCUGACACACAUCCCUCUGCCUUCAAUUAAGACGAACGCUUUUGAAUCGUGUUUUUUUUCUGGAGAGAGAACAGAGCGGUCAAUAUUUGACUGAUAUUGACAGCCGGAAAGUAAGGUUAUGAACACUGCCAUUUUAAACCGGACUUGACCUUGUGUGUCUCUCCUUAGCCAGCUCGUGCUAGCUUUGUAGGUUGUAGCUUUUUGGUUUAUCGGGAACAAUAUGUUUGGCUGCCACAGUUAGCCUGAACAGCAAAACAGCAGUCUUUGCUUUGCGUUGCCUUCUCAAAGUGACAAUAGAGAUAGCCAUGUCUUCACUGCCAAUCUUAAUCUUUUCCGUGGCUACCGUUUUUGCACUUGUGUCUUCAAAACCGACAAUAGCUUGUUGACUUCCCCUUCACUCUGGGCUAUCGGUGGGCUUGGAGUCAGGCCGAAUUGCAGGGUAUAAAUGGCGUUAACCCGGGAGUGUACGAUGCUCUCGGUCGGCCAGUGUUACCGUAACACACAAAAGCGUUUUCUUAUUUUCGGGCCGGCAGCAGCAACAACAACAACUGGCGUUUUGUUGGUUAUCGUUGGCGCAUGGAUAGGAAAGCUGAAACAACCCUUAACAGGAAAUGGUAUACGUUAAGCGUUUAUAUUAGUCCAUCGUGUCCUUUUUUGCUACGGGUCAAAUCACUUGCAGUUUAAAAAAGAAAUUGACUAUGUUUUGAUCCAUGAAAAACCAUGAUGUCUCUUACCGUGGAGGACCUUCGUGCGUGUACUCAAUGCUAGCUUCUGGCGGAGUUUCUAAAUGUUUUUCAAUGUUAUUGUGUAGUGGGAUAGCACUAUUAUGAAGAUUAAAAAAAAGAAAAAAAAAGCUACUAUGUCAUUCCAUAGGCGUCUCUGACCGGGGGACUGCUUUGUGUAUCACUGUGACUGCCUUGUGUGCUUAGAAAUGUAGACUUUAUCAGUAGGUAGUCCGCCUGUCCGUUCUGUAGUAAUGUUGUAGCGUUUGACGCCAUCAAAGCCUCCUGUAUUUCCAACUCCCCCCUCUACAUGCAGUCAGAAAGAAGAGCGGCAAGUUGGCCAGGUUGAUAAUACUAGUCUACGCCCACUCCCAGCCCCCCCCCCCCCCCCCCCACCACCACCUAACACCACCACCCAACAAUACCCAACGCCACCACCCCAGAAAACACUCAAUUGAUCAAUUUGAACAAAUUUAAAAAAAGAGCACAUCAUUUGAGGUGGGAAUAUGAGAAUGAGAAUGGGCCGUUUUCACACUGCAUUUUGUUACUGUGUCAUACUUGUAUGCUCAUCCUGUGGUUGAAACAUGGUUGGCGAUGCCCAAUAAUUAAAAUGAGUGAAAGAUUAAUGCAAAUUAAUGAUAAGAACAUUUAGUGAGAGAUGUUUGAUCCUUUGGGUAAAAACAGCACAUGAGGAUUCUUUGCAGUAUGAAGAAGAUCAACUUGCUAAAAAUGCUAUUUUAAAAAGAACAAUUUUGUGUUCAUUUAUUUUUUCUUGGUUCAUUUGCAUAUUUCCCACCAUGCUACAGUUUUUCUCCUUGCACACUGAUCCAGCAUAUGUUGUUUCAGGGAGUUUAAAGAAAACAACCAAAACUAGACGAUUUGGUCUUUGAAUCUCCUUCUCCUUAAAAAAAUAUACUGUGUAUAUAUCUCUCCAUCACGUGUCCAGUAUGUAUAUCUGAACGAAAUAUAAAUGACUGAAUAUACAGUAUCCAUCAGUCUUGCUGUCAUAGUAGUUAUUCAAUCUCCUAGAAAUAUGUUAUUAUAUCUCACCAUACUGCUCGUGUGGUCUCCACCAUGUUUUCCUUUUGUUUUUCAUUCUUAUUGAAUACCCUUUUAUAUUUGAGACAAAACUCUGAAUGUACAGUAUGGCCUGUGUGUUGGUGUAGAUUCUAGAUGGUGUUCAGUCUAGGUGUACUUUGCACUUUUUGUUAUAUAUAUAUUUUUGGUUAAUAUUGUUAUGACAUUUCUUUUGAAAAGCCCCCCCCCCCUCGCUCUAAACAAACAUUUCCACAGCAGUUUCAGUACAUAAAACAACAAAGUGAUGGAUGCAUAUUUGAUUUGACAUGUUUGCUUUAAAUGGGAUAUACUCAGUAUCAGCUUCGGAUAUUAGAUGUGUCGACAUCUCGAACGGCCUAAAUCCCUCGAUAUCAAGUUCUGUCGAACUCCCCACGUAGAAAAUUGUACCUCCGAUAUAUAUAUAUAAUAUAUAUGUGUGCGUGUGUGUGUGUGUGUGUGUGUGUGUGUGUGUGUGUGUGUGUGUGUGUGUGUGUGUGUGUGUGUGUGUGUGUGUGUGUGUGUGUGUGUGUGUAAUCGUUAUCAGGGAAUUCAGUUACGGGCAGCAUUGCAGAACCCAUCGGACCGUGAGGUGUGUGGAACUAUACGACACAACAAAAAAGCCAUUACCUGCACUGAAAUGCAAUGCUACUCUCAUUACGGUUUCCUACCAAAGUACACAAAUGCGUAAUCUAACCGCACGAACCGCUGCUCCCCCCCCCACCCCACCCCUGUACCCACGUCGUCCCUCACCCCCCUCCCACAGGCAAACCUUAUCGACCCACGCGUGCAACCGGGAUCCUCUCGAAAUGGCAAAAGGCCACCGAGCCAAACACUUGACCCUUUCCAAGACAAAGCUGUGUAAAGUAUUAGAAUCUGAUGCUGUAGAACGAUCCUAGUUGCCUUUGUGUAUAUCAACUGCCUGCUUGAGUAUUUGUGUGUGAAAAACCUUUUUCUCUGUAAUCUCUCUGUAGAAACUGUUUGGGGUGUUUUUUCCUCUCUCUCUCUCUCUCUCUCUCUCUCUCUCUCUCUCUCUCUCUCUCUCUCUCCCUCCCGCAGUGAACGCGGGAUGCUGGCGGUUAUCUUUGCUGUGUAUACCUUCCUUUACUUUCUCGACCAGGUGUUUAACUGUUUCGUUUCACUUUGUGUAGUGAUUCACUCUGUGGAGUUUUCUGACUGUUGUUAUAUAACUUCAUAUACACAAAUGAUCAAUAAAAUGUUUUCUUUCCUGUUGAUACAGAAA